GCUGCAGCCCUGGAGGCGGUGCAAGCAUGGCUGCUAUAGCGCAUGUGCGUCAGUAGGUGGCAGAGAGGAGAGAGGCUAUUCUCUGCUCCGUGUUCGGACCUGUGAACAACUGAAUGAUGAGUAGCCUAUCAUU